UGGCGGACGGGUGAGUAACGCGUGGAAAACCUGCCGUAUACUGGGGGAUAACACUUAGAAAUAGGUGCUAAUACCGCAUAAGCGCACAGAGCCGCAUGGCUCAGUGUGAAAAACUCCGGUGGUGCAAGAUGGACCCGCGUCUGAUUAGCUGGUUGGCGGGGUAACGGCCCACCAAGGCGACGAUCAGUAGCCGGCCUGAGAGGGUGAACGGCCACAUUGGGACUGAGACACGGCCCAAACUCCUACGGAAGGCAGCAG
rnacentral:rRNA from 1 species